UACAGAGGGUGCGAGCGUUAAUCGGAUUUACUGGGCGUAAAGCGCGCGUAGGCGGCGCGGUAUGUCGUGCGUGAAAUCUCCCGGCUUAACUGGGAGGGGCCGUGCGAAACUGCCGGGCUUGAGGUCGGAAGGGGAAAGUGGAAUUCCGGGUGUAGUGGUGGAAUACGUAGAUAUCCGGAGGAACACCAGCGGCGAAGGCGGCUUUCUGGUCCGAUACUGACGCUGAGGUGCGAAAGCGUGGGGAGCGAUCCGG
rnacentral:rRNA from 1 species